rnacentral:piRNA from 1 species
UAUGCACAGGUGUGACCUAGUACAUUGGUC